rnacentral:tRNA from 1 species
GGAAGGGUCGCAUAGUGGCCUAGUGCGAUUGCUUGGAGAGCAAUUAUAGGGGAAACCCUAUCGCGAGUUCGAAUCUCGCCCCUUCCG